UUGAUUAUUGUGUUUUUGCUCGGACAUCACUGAUAAAUAGAAUUUGAUUGGCCUCUGACGGGCGCUCGCCGACCAGUCAGUCGACACGGGACGGUGCCCGAGGCCCGCCAAAGCAACAAAGGUAUGUAGACAAUGGGCGAAGAGCUAGAGGCCGAAACCCCCGGGAGCGCGAAGCCCCUCUCUCAGUAAUGAUCCUUCCGCAGGUUCACCUACGGAAA
rnacentral:misc_RNA from 1 species